rnacentral:rRNA from 1 species
AUUGAACGCUGGCGGCAUGCCUUACACAUGCAAGUCGAACGGUAACAGGUCUUCGGAUGCUGACGAGUGGCGAACGGGUGAGUAAUACAUCGGAACGUGCCUAGUAGUGGGGGAUAACUACUCGAAAGAGUGGCUAAUACCGCAUGAGAUCUACGGAUGAAAGCAGGGGAUCGCAAGACCUUGUGCUACUAGAGCGGCCGAUGGCAGAUUAGGUAGUUGGUGGGAUAAAAGCUUACCAAGCCGACGAUCUGUAGCUGGUCUGAGAGGACGAUCAGGAACACUGGGACUGAGACACGGCCAAGAUUCCUACGGGAGGCAGUAGUGGGGAAUUUUGGACAAUGGGCGCAAGCCUGGUCCAGCAAUGCCGCGUGCAGGAUGAAGGCCUUCGGGUUGUAAACUGCUUUUGUACGGAACGUAAGGCCCUGGGUUAUUACCCUGGGGUCAUGACGGUACCGUAAGAAUAAGCACCGGCUAACUACGUGCCAGCAGCCGCCGUAACAC